GCCGGGUGUGGUGGCUCACACCUGUAAUCCCAGCACUUUGGGAGGCCGAGGUGGGUGGAUCACCUGAGGUCAGGAGUUUGAGACCAGCCUGGCCAACAUGGUGAAACCCCAUCUCUA
rnacentral:SRP_RNA from 1 species